rnacentral:lncRNA from 1 species
GCAGAGAAGUGGGGAGGAAACCAGCCCCUUCUAGGAGAGAGUGCGUGAUCGUUUGCCACACCUAGCUCCUCCAGAGUUACUGAUCUAUGAAAUGGCAGAGAAUGGAACAAAUUGUGACCAGAGACGUGGAGCAAUGAGUAAGGAACAGCAUAAUGGGAGUUUCACAGACCCCUCUUCAGUAAAUGAGAAGAAGAGAAGGGAUCGGGAAGAAAGACAGAAUAUCGUCCUGUGGAGACAGCCACUCAUUACCUUGCAGUAUUUCUCUCUGGAAACUCUUGUAGUUUUGAAGGAAUGGACCUCAAAAUUGUGGCAUCGUCAAAGCAUGGUGGUGUCCUUUUUCCUGCUGCUUGCUGCGCUUGUAGCUACGUAUUAUGUGGAAGGAGCGCACCAGCAGUAUGUGCAGCGGAUAGAGAAGCAGUUUCUUUUAUAUGCCUACUGGAUAGGCCUGGGGAUUCUGUCCUCUGUUGGUCUUGGAACAGGAUUGCACACCUUUCUGCUUUAUCUGGGCCCACAUAUAGCUUCAGUUACAUUAGCUGCUUAUGAAUGCAAUUCGGUUAAUUUCCCUGAGCCACCCUAUCCUGACCAGAUUAUCUGCCCAGACGAAGAAGGCACUGAAGGAGCCAUAUCUUUGUGGAGUAU